rnacentral:lncRNA from 1 species
AAUUUAUAGUGCCAUUCAUGAUGUGCCAACUGGAAAGAUCAAACCUGUCAAUGAUAUACUUGAAUGGCUUUCUUCACUUUUUGGUUUCCAGGUAAAACCCCAUGAUGAAUAUCAUUUGAAGAAGUUCACUAUGCAACAUAUAUAGCUCCUCUGCCGGUAACCUUAACCAAUAUCAAUUGACACCUGCAGUGAUAACUAGAUUGCUUAUAUGACUGUUGCACUUCUUUCUAAUAAUAUUCCUGUCUGUGUAAUUGACUUAACUUGCUGAAACUGGCGUCUUGCUUUCUAUUUACAAUGACAUAAGCGAUAAUUCAUUAACUGGCAUGCUGGAUUUUCGAUAAUGAGUAGACUGAUCUCUCUACAGUGUAUAAAGUUUUCUGAUCUCCUGUCACAGAAUGGAUAGAAACUUUACCACGGUAUCAUUGUUGCCUAUGAGGCAUGAAAGAAGCUGUAAUUAGUACUUGAAUAAAUUUUGCUUCCUUUCCCCUAGCAAUUUCCUUUUCAUUUUGCUUGUUUUGUCCCU